GACGAACGCUGGCGGCGUGCUUAACACAUGCAAGUCGAACGGAAAGGCCCUGCUUUUGUGGGGUGCUCGAGUGGCGAACGGGUGAGUAACACGUGAGUAACCUGCCCUUUACUUUGUGAUAACUUCAGUAAACUGGGGCUCAUACCGGAUAUGAGCUCCUGCUGCAUGGUGUGGGUUGGUAAGUUUCGGCGGUUGGGGAUGGACUCGCGGGUUAUCAGCUUGUUGGUGGGGUAGUGGCUUACCAAGGCUUUGACGGGUAGCCGGACUGCGAGGGUGACCUGCCACAUUGGGACUGAGAUAGGGCCCAGACUCCUACGGGAGGAAGCAGUGGGGAAUAUUGCACAAUGGGCGGAAGCCUGAUGCAGCAACGCCGCGUGCGGGAUGACGGCCUUCGGGUUGUAAACCGCUUUCGCCUGUGACGAAGAGUGAGUGACGGUAAUGGGUAAAGAAGCACCGGCUAACUACGUG
rnacentral:rRNA from 1 species